rnacentral:rRNA from 1 species
GAUGAACGCUGGCGGCGUGCCUAAUACAUGCAAGUCGAGCGAACGGACGAGAAGCUUGCUUCUCUGAUGUUAGCGGCGGACGGGUGAGUAACACGUGGAUAACCUACCUAUAAGACUGGGAUAACUUCGGGAAACCGGAGCUAAUACCGGAUAAUCUUUUGAACCGCAUGGUUCAAAAGUGAAAGACGGUCUUGCUGUCACUUAUAGAUGGAUCCGCGCUGCAUUAGCUAGUUGGUAAGGUAACGGCUUACCAAGGCAACGAUGCAUAGCCGACCUGAGAGGGUGAUCGGCCACACUGGAACUGAGACACGGUCCAGACUCCUACGGGAGGCAGCAGUAGGGAAUCUUCCGCAAAGGGCGAAAGCCUGACGGAGCAACGCCGCGUGAGUGAUGAAGGUCUUCGGAUCGUAAAACUCUGUUAUUAGGGAAGAACAUAUGUGUAAGUAACUGUGCACAUCUUGACGGUACCUAAUCAGAAAGCCACGGCUAACUACGUG